CAGCAGAAAUAAACAUGUUUACAGCCUGGUGCCAAAACAUGUUUUUUGUCUAAAUUAUCUAGUUUAUACUCAUGACAACUCUGAGGGGGGUGAAUUUUUUUCUCACUCUUCUGUUUAAGUGUAUUGAAAGCCUAAAAUUCUGUAUAAUUAAUGAGCAUCCGACACACGUGACCGCCGCCUCAGACCCACGUGACCACAGAGCUAGCUCCGUGGAAAGGCCUCAGUACAGCCUCGGUCUGGCUUGGAAACUGCUCCGGCAUUUUGAGUCUCUGUGUUUGUGUAUUCUUCUUUGGAUAUUAUUGGUGCAAUUGUUGGACAAAAUGACUUGCAGUGGUAUUAAUUGCACUAAUAGAGCGUCCAAGGAGUCUCCACUUCAUUUUUUUCGUUAGUCCUGUCCUGCAACCCUGUUUUUGCAGCUUAGUGAAACCAACCAUCACUAACCGGGGGGUGGUUUUGGACCCAGAGAUGCGGAUGGACUCCCACAUUAGCCAGGUGGUUAGAUCCUGCUUUUCCCGGCUUCGCCAGCUACCAAAGAUGAAGUCCAUCCUGAAAGACGUGUCAUAUUUUCUCCCCAAGCUGGACCUGACCGUCAUGUAUCGGUCCAAAAUAGUGUGAUGAUAUUGUGUUUUUGUACAUAACAGACUUUUUAACAGACAAAUUUGUCGCAUUCUCCUACACCUCUUCACGGGCUCGCCACAGUAAAUAUUCUAUUUGGCAAGAGAUAAACUUUAUUGUAUUUAUCCUAGUGAAUCUAUAAUUAAACGGGUAAACUAGUAGUAGCACAUCCAACAUCAAAGAAAGUAAAAUGUUACUAUCAGGAGAGGGAGAAUGUUUAAGUGGUUAGCAGCAGUGUGCUAGCCGAUGGCCCCCUCCAUGAGGCCACCACAGCUCAGCAGAACGUCAUUGUAGCUUCUUCUGGGGAGAAAAACACUUAGAGAAAAAAUAAAGUUAACAGCUGAAAUAGCAGGAAAUAAUACAGUUAAAGAGCAGAUUGUAGAAGAAAGAAAGCCCUGGGUUAAACUGGUCUGUCUACUGCAUAAUGCUGAACUCUAACAUGUGUCCUAAGGGAAGGACCUGAUUGGUGUCCAGAACCUGCUGAAGAAGCACCAGGCUCUGCAGGCUGAGAUCACAGGUCAUGAACCUCGCAUCAAGGCUGUCACCCAGAAAGGAGAGACCAUGGUGGAAGAAGGUCACUUCGCUGGUGAGGAAGUGAAGACUAAACUGUGGGAGCUUCAUGGACGUUGGGACACGCUGAAGGCCAAGGCGUCCCAGAGGAGGCAGGACCUGGAGGACUCUCUGCAGGCCCAGCAGUACUUUGCGGAUGCUAAUGAGGCCGAGUCCUGGAUGAGGGAGAAGGAGCCCAUCGUUGGAAGUCCAGACUAAGGGAAAGACGAGGACUUGGCCGAGGCUCUCCUGAAGAAGCACGAGGCCCUGAUGUCGGACCUGUCGGCUUACGGCAGCAGCAUCCAGGCCCUGAAGGAGCAGGCCCAGUCCUGCAGGCAACAAGGUGAUCAGCAGGUGCUUUUGUCCUGCAGGACCUGAAGGCCAACGAGUCCCGCCUGAGGGACAUCAACAAGGUGGCAUCUGAACUGGAGUCAGAAGGUCUGAUGGCUGAGGAGGCUCCUAUGGUUCAGGCUCAGGUGAGCGUCACCUGUCUGCAGCAGCUGGUCCCUCUCACUUCCUGGUUUAACUCUGCUCGUCUCUGUUUGUAGCAACAAGAACAUCUGGGUUCUGCUCCUGGAAAGGUGCGUGUUGUCCUCCGCCUCCACCAGAACCAGACGUGGUGUUUAUGUUACCACUCAUUUGUUUGUUUACAGGAUGAAGCCGACUCUAACACGGCGUCACCCUGGAAGGUGAGUUCAUUCAGCUGAUCAGAGGUCACCUCUGAUGGCAGCAGUCACGGCCGACCGUGCUGACAUCACACAGGAAUUCAGGUGACCCGGCAGGCACCAGGUUUUGGUGAAAGUGGGGACAUGUCAGCUGGUUGCCAUGGCUAGUUAUCUUUAUGCAUCUGUAUGACUGCUGACUGGUGUGUGUUUCCUGUGACCUUUGACCUCAGACCGUACGGUUGGGCGUUCAGACGACGGCUAACUUUAAUUCCAUCAAGGUAAGAGGAAGCUCUUCCCUUCCUGUCUGAGCGAUCCGUCUCCAGGUUUCUUCGUCCGGCGUCCAGCCCGCUGGCGUCCACCUUCAUCUCACCUUCAUCUCAUCUCACUUCAUUUAUAGUGCAAUACUUUCACAUUAUCAUUUUCCCACACUUCUGUAUACCUGUAUUUUGUUGUUUUUCAAUAAAGAAUGACAAAUUA